rnacentral:rRNA from 1 species
AAUAUUGGACAAUGGGCGAAGGCCUGAUCCAGCAAUGCCGCGUGAGUGAUGAAGGCCUUAGGGUUGUAAAGCUCUUUUACCCGGGAUGAUAAUGACAGUACCGGGAGAAUAAGCCCCGGCUAACUCCGUGCCAGCAGCCGCGGUAAUACGGAGGGGGCUAGCGUUGUUCGGAAUUACUGGGCGUAAAGGGCGCGUAGGCGGCCUUGAUAGUUGGGCGUGAAAGGCCUGGGCUCAACCCGGGAACUGCGUUCAAUACUGUAAGGCUAGAGUGUGGGAGAGGUUGGUGGAAUUCCCAGUGUAGAGGUGAAAUUCGUAGAUAUUGGGAAGAACACCGGUGGCGAAGGCGGCCAACUGGACCACAACUGACGCUGAGGCGCGAAAGCGUGGGGAGCAAAC